rnacentral:rRNA from 1 species
UGGGGAAUUUUGGGACAAUGGGCGAAAGCCUGAUCCAGCAAUGCCGCGUGUGUGAAGAAGGCCUUCGGGUUGUAAAGCACUUUUGUCCGGAAAGAAAUCCUUGGCUCUAAUACAGUCGGGGGAUGACGGUACCGGAAGAAUAAGCACCGGCUAACUACGUGCCAGCAGCCGCGGUAAUACGUAGGGUGCAAGCGUUAAUCGGAAUUACUGGGCGUAAAGCGUGCGCAGGCGGUUUGCUAAGACCGAUGUGAAAUCCCCGGGCUCAACCUGGGAACUGCAUUGGUGACUGGCAGGCUAGAGUAUGGCAGAGGGGGGUAGAAUUCCACGUNUGAGCAGUGAAAUGCGUAGAGAUGUGGAGGAAUACCGAUGGCGAAGGCAGCCCCCUGGCAAUACUGACGCUCAUGCACGAAAGCGUGGGGAGCAAACAGGAUUAGAUACCCUGGUAGUCCACGCCCUAAACGAUGUC